rnacentral:tmRNA from 1 species
GGGGGUGAAUUAGUUUCGACGUGGAUCGGGAGUGCAUCAGCAGCGAGCCGAGGUCCCCAGUCCCUCGUAAAACCUGGGAUCUAAAGUAACUGCAAACAACAAUUACGCUUUAGCUGCUUAAGUUCGGCUAACGCCGCUUAGUUCGAUGCCUGUUCGGACUAAAUCGGUGUCAUAAUACAGGCUACCGUAGGCGGCUUGCCUGGACCGCCUAGGGGAAAUUUCACAGGCUGGCCCACCCAACAGCGGGCUGCGGAGCGGUUGGGCAGGCGAGAAUAGGACUGCAGCUGCGCUCGGAGAAGCUGGUGUUGGCCCAUUCGCGGACAGCGGUGCAACUCCGCUCACCUCCACCA